GGGGCAGGAAUUGAGCCAGGGGUGGGGUUUGCGCUGAGAGGGCCAGGGAGAGCUUGGCCCGGAGGAAAGACAAAGGAACUAGUUCGGCUCCGGUGUGGGCAGCGAAGGAUUAAAACCAUAGAGCUGGCAACGCCUCCAGCUGGUAGAGCGGGCUGCAAAGUCCUGCGCGGGGGGGGGGGGGGGGGAGUUGAAGCGUGAGCCGCUUCCUCUUCCCUUCCCGCUGCCGGUGCGCGCGGAGCCUGCAGGGCGGGGAGCGAGCGCACGUGGAGCCGGCGGCGCGGCGCGGCGCGGUCCCAGGGCGGGACUAACUCGGGCCUGCGCAGUGGUGAGUGGGCGGCUCUGGACUGAGGGGUGCGGGCAGAGCCCCGGCAGCCAGGGGGCGAGGCCAACAAAUCGGUGCCUCUGGGAGCUGCCGGCGACAACGGGGGAAGUGAAACAGGAGCCACGUCUCGGAGAGAAAGGGGGAAAGUCGGGCAGGGUCCCCCUCCCCUCCGGGGAAGAGUGGGAGGAAGUUUGGGGGAGGCAGCCGCAGGGGUGUUAGCAAGUGGGUUAUGGCAGAAAGGACGUGGGUGUAGAGGGAGGUGGUUUAAAGGAUAGGGCAGGUUCAGGGAAAGGGGGGGGUGGAAGAGAGCUGUGGUUAGGGGAGACUGGCCUCGGGGAAGUAUAGUACAUGGGGGGGGGGUAUGGAGGUUUGUUUAUUAAAGGCAAACAAAUACAGCAGUAGAAAAGGUGAAAUUAACCAGCAGCAAGCAGCUCAGCGUGACCAGGGAUGGGUUAUAAAUGCUUUAAAAUAAAAAGUUAGGACGUGGAAAUGUAAAGACACAGCUAUACUUUUUGAAGGUAAAAAAGCCUGUUAGAUGGCAGAGACAGUGGUGAAACUGACAAUGCACCAACCAGAACCAUUCAUCUUGUUUGUUAUGCUGGAUCCUUAUCCCCAUGGUCCACCUGUAUGUUUGCCUGCCUAGAUUUUUGGCUUUUUUUGGUCCAGUGUGCACUGAGGAAGCUUUCCCCCCAGACUGUAAGCAGUCUUAAAAUUGUAACUGUCUGGAGCUAUGGUGCAGAUCAGACCUACAGGCAACUUGAGCCGUUACUUCAGACUGACUAAAAGUGGUUCGGGCCACCUGAAGGCCUGCGGUGAAAUCCUGCCCCUUUGAAGUCAAAGGAAGACUUACUGUUAAUCUCAGUUCAGUGGCUUUUGAGGAAGUGGUGGGAGGGAGGGGGGGCAUAAUUGGGGGCCUCUGUGGGGAGCACAAGGAGGCUUCCUAAGAACACCUCACUGCUAAUCAGCUGUGCCCUUCUCCUAGCCCCUCCAUGUUCCCCUGAGCUGGAUUGGUCUCGAGGAGGGAAGGUGAUAACCCAUGGGCUGAGAGGAAGGCAUAAUCUACUGAUUGGAGGCAGCAAGGGGGAGUGAAGGGGAGUCCUGGACUUCAUACUCCACUUCAGGGACUAGUGGUGGGGAGGGAGAGGGCUCUGCAUAGCUCUUUUCAGCAUCACAGGAUUGCAGUGGUGUGAAGUAGUUUAUUCAUUUCAAUGGGAUGUUCCCAGAUGAAUCAGAAGCCCCCCCUCCGCCCCGAGAUGAAUACAGCCUGCCACGAUAGCUCUGAGAGAUGUGAGCUGAUCCAUUCCUCUCAGUGGAUGUUCUCCUUCCUUCUUUCCCAAAGUCUUCUUACCUAGCUCCUGUUGUGGAAUACCAGUGUUCAAGAUGAUCUCACUAUGCAAGAGUAGAUCACAAGAUACAGACACCAUGCUUGUAGCAGAGGAAAUGUCCUGAACCAGAAAUUACCUUGGAGGGCAAGACCUUCCUGAUUGUAGACUAUCCAUUGUGGUGUUCAACUGGAACGUCUCAUUUUUUGAGAAGGAAAUGUGUGUUUGACUCUGAAUGGAAACACCUACGCUUGCGGAUGAAGGGCCUGACUUCCUCCUAACAGCCCUGCGUGGAUACAAAAUUUAUGUAUGCGGAUAUCUGCGGACUUGCAGGGCU